UUCAUCGUGCAUAUGCUAUAGCUAGUUGAUCAUCAUAUGUAAAUAUAUAUUAUACAAUGAUAUAAUAGAUUUGACCACUGUUAAAAAAAAGAAACUUUAAUAUUUCUCGAGUGUUUAUUAAAUUGGCGAAGUCUUCACAAUUAGAGUUUUUCUUAAUAACCCAUACUUUGGGUCUGUUUAUUUCACCAUGUUUAUUUCACCAUCCAGAUGAAUCAUCUAGUUUAGAUUUAAAAUUGCAACCCAUCUAAAUGGUUUAUCUGGAUGAGUUUUAGAAAUCUAGGUUUAAUUUUUAGAAUCAUCAAAUUGAACCAAAUUGAACCAUCUGAAUGGAGAUAGUUUUAUCAAAAUGGUAUAAUGUCUACUAUAUCUUUGAUAUAAUUAACAAAUUACAAACCUAAACCUACUAUAUUUUGUCAAUCAAUAAAAAUGACAAAACCGCAAAAAUCAUUUCCCACUAAAACCACAAAACAUAUUUUCUCGUCAAAAUCGUAAAAACGUAUUUUCUCACGGAAACUACAUAAUGCAUUUUCCCGCCAAAAUCGCAAAAACGCAUUUUCCGCCAAAAUCACAAAAACGUAUCUCCCCCCAAAACGCAAGAACACAUUUUCUCACCAAAAACGCAAAACACACAAUUUCCCGUCAAAACAAUAAAAGUGCAUUUUCCCGCCAAAACCGCAAAAAUUCAUUUUCUCAACAAAAUCACAAAAACACAUUUCCCGACAAAACCUCAAAACACAUUUUCCCGCCAAAAUACACAUUUUCUCG
rnacentral:lncRNA from 1 species